rnacentral:lncRNA from 1 species
AGACUACUGAGGUAUUCUGUAUGUGAAUCUCUGUCUGCAAUUACAUUUCAUUACUACAGUGCUUUAUACCAAGGUUCCUGUGUCUGUGUCAUCUAUCUGGAAGACUGAUUGUUAAAGGAAACUUACAUCACCCCAUGCAAAGGACUACCCAACACACCAUUACCAAAUACUCUCUCCGACAUCUUCAGUCACAGACAGUCAGAAUUUGGAUGCCUGGUGCCUGGACAUGGGGUAGUAUUGUCUUAGGAGUGCUGGGAAAAGCACACCCUGGGAGAGGCUGUAGUGUAGCCGUCACGGUGAGGAGAUGUGGAGUAAUGGGGCUGGGGUACUCUCUGGCUUCUCUUAAAUCAGACAGCCGAGAGGCAUGUACUAGAAAGGGGUUACAAUACACACACAACACACACACACACACACACACACACAUAUAGAAGAUACUGAGUACAACCACCCCCCACCUUCACCCAUCCGUGGACUACUCUGGACUCAGCACUCCACCAGCAUGCCGUUAUGGGGACCAGAUGGGAAACCUGAGCAUUAGAGAGUACUCUCACUCUGCAGAACCGGACCCAUAAAAAUAACAGCGGUUUUGAUGUUCAACGGUGUUGAUGGGGCCCCCCUCUUAAAAAAUCUGGAGUACAGUAGUGGAGAGAAAUGUUGCACACUGGAGCGGGCUGGAGUGAACACAAAGCCGGUUUGUUUCCCAUGGAAAAAGAUUGAGUUUAGUUUGAGAGUUAUUUCCAGUAAGCCAAGAGGCUGUGAGAGCGGGUCAUAUAUCAUGUAUCAGCUUUACAGUGGUGUUGUGUCUUUAGAGUAGCGUAGACAAAGGCCUUACGUCUCCACACUGGACUAUGAUUGAGGAGGACCAGGGCUGAGCAAAGGGACUUGUUAACACUAGUGUUACGGAACACUGGAGGCUGAGUGAAAAUGGCCCAGAGGUUUUAGCCCAGCUCCCGGCCUCGGAAGGACUGUAUUGUUGGUUUAUUUUGGAUUAGCGUUGUUACAGAAUGUGUUUUUUUAUCAAAAAUGUUCAUGCCCUCUCACACAGAUUUUGUUUUACUAAGGGGGGUGUUAUACUAAGACUUCUCUGAAUGGGUUUAUCUGCAGGGCAUGUUCAUACAGUAGAUAUAGAGAUUCUGGGAACAAUCUUCCAUUCUUAUCCAUUACAUUCUCAGAGACAGGUGUUUGUCUCAGGCUGGAGCAUCACCCCAAGGGAUUUAGUGGUGGUUAGGUUACUGCAUUACUACUUGUCUAGUGAUGGUUAGAGGAAGUUCUGGGGUUAGGGUUGUGGAGCAGGUGUACAUAACCAUACUCCUAGCUAAGCUGAGCAUCAUCAUCUUGUUUUUUUCAGGGUAGACCGAUAAUUGCAGUAGAUGUUUCAUGGCAAUUGUAUGGUCCACAAGAUCAAACGUGUAACUGUAUUUGCUGUUGUAUUUUGGGAAGAUAAUAGCCAGAAUAUUCAUGUAAUUGAGUACAUGAAUGAAUGUCCUCCCUUGAGGAGGGGAUAAUGACUAAACUCUGAUUGGAGUCAAUGAAGCCCUAGUGUUUCCUGAACACAUCUGGACGGAGUUUAGGCUAGGGUAAGUGUUUGGUUCGGCUGCUGCAUAUUUGUGUAUUACUUAGAUAAUCACUAUUAAUAUCAUUCAGGCCCCUUUAUCAUUGUGAUUGCCUGGGGGUGUGUUGUCAUCUAGACUCGACCGCAGGCUGUGAUUUGGCCCAUGUCUCAUCAGGCACAGCCAUUAAUAGUUGUACAUUCAUGAACACUGCAGAGGAGAAAGUCUAAUUACAGAAACAGGAUCAGAGACAAAUGAGUCAUCAGGAGCCCAUGCUGCAUCAUUCAAUCAACCUGUUUUAUUUGGCUUCUCCUUUUCAUGUGUUUUUUUUUAAGAUGAAAAAGGUGUCAACAAAAUUGUUUAGCAAUUUUAAGUUAAAAUCAGAUGUGGUUUUAGUGCAUACCGUAUGGCCCAUUUCUAGCAUGGUUUACAGUGUAGAGUACUGAAUGGGGGUGUUAUAUGAGGAGACUGGGCUAUAGGGUGGGUCGGGGUGUGAGGGGCCGGGUGGCCCUGAGAAAGCACAGCAGUGCUGUGGUGGCAUGCAGGACGUGCCGGUGGAGGAGAGUAGUAAGGAAGGGAGAAUGGCAGCGCUGCCAGCAAUAACAGCAGGAAAGAUAAUAAAGGAGAAGGUGUUUCCUGUGAGCAUUCAUUCAGGGACACACUGACUCCCCCAUGCAUUAUCAUGGCCAUAUUGCAGCCGCGGCUAGCCUCAGAGACGGCCACCAUCUUGAACUGGCUUACUAUAGACCGAGAAGAAAAUCGAACAACCUUGGUUAUCACAGAAAGGGAUGGGGUUUAAGUUGUGAGCUGCAGUCUGGACUUCUAUCAAAUCUACACUUCAUAAACACAUACAACACAUAAACACAGACUCACCCAAGCUCUCCGGAGUUCUGUUGUGCGUACUAUCCAUUAACUCAGACAGUUGAAACAAUGGACUUGGCACACAAUGCCUGGACUCACUAAGACAGAGAUGUUCUCCUGGUAGAGGUAGUGUGUCAGCCAUUGUUCUGAUAUUCCUCCCCUCUAACACUGAGGAUGGAGCAGACAUAUGGGAUUCAGCUUCAGACUCUCCAGAUGUCACAGGUGCACUCAAUUUCAUCACAAAUUAGAUUCUGAAUCAGUUUGCAUUUCUUUCUAUAAAAUCCCAAUCGAAUGAAGACGUCGUGGCCAAUGCUUUUCUCAUUAAACAACCCUGACAAAAAACGCAGUGAACAAUGACUUGUUUAGUAGUGCUGUAUUCCCAAGCUGUUGGUUCCAGUUGAAAGAGCCUAAGACCAAAGGCUGAGCCCAGCUACCAGCUGACUGUUAUUCACAGUCACCCAAGCACAGGCUCCGUCAGAGAGAGCAAGGUCUGCAAUUACGAUAACAAUGAGUCUCUCUGCCUGGUGAACAUAUUGACUGACUGCCGGUGACCACAGGAUUAUUGAUCAAAGCUGUUUGAGUGGAUUUACAGGAAGAGGAAGGGGGAACAGGAGGCAGGGCAUGGAGGGUUGGCUAUGUGAACAGGUGACAGCUACCCCACAGCCCAGGCUUCUGGCCCACAUGAUAAUAGUAUUGUGUGGUCAGAAUUUGACACCCAGGAGCACCGUGCCAUUGCUGAGGGAGAUUGUGAAGACACAGGACGUGACAUCUUCUGGCAUCAGGCACAGUUGCUCAUUAUAUCCAUAUCAGAACAGGCCAUGGGUGAACAGAGCCACUACAAAGCCCUGCCAGAACUGGAGACUGGCUACCUGGUUGGCACAGCAAAGUUACUCUUUAUCGAGAGAGGUUCUUCCUCCUGAACACACCCAAUGUUCAGAACUGGCUUAGUCGCAAUAACAAAUAACCUGGCUAAGUUCCCUUCCCUCAUUUCCCUCAGCCACUUGGCCGACACAGAGAAAGGCUCACACAGACUUAAAUUCAUUGGAAGAAACUGUAUUUAUGACUAUAUUUAGCUGUGGUGUUAUCGGAUACUCAAAGGGGAUUUACUAAAUGAUCUCUUAAUGGCUAUAAAUCUCACUUUUAUUUGAAUCAACAGGAAUUUUGACCAGUUUUGGUGAAAACUCAUCACUUAGCAUUAGCACCGUUCAGCAGUUAUAGACCAGAGCAAAGCCGUGUAAAAAAAGUAGCUUUUUAAAUAAUUAAUAAUCCAGUGUUCGUUGUGGGGAUUCAGAGGCGGCUGCUGCACACGUGUGUUUGUGCUGUGUGACCAGGCCUGGACACAGAUGGUGUGGUGGAGCUAAUCCAGCUGGGACUCAACCCACGGCCUCUCCUCUCUCCUAUCCUCCCUUCUUCCUGCUAUUGCUCUGAUGUAAUGGGAGAGGCUGUGAUGGCUGCUCUGAAGGGGUCUUCCUCACCUCCAAACAGAGUUGGAAAAAGUUAGCGGUUUCGCAAUCAAAGGAGUACCAUAAAAACAGUUCAAUGACUUGGAUGGAGAGCUUGCCGUAUAAUGUAGAGAGCUGAAAGGCUCAGAGUAAAGGAAGGGGAAUGAGGCAGAGACACCAGGUCAGUGAGAAACUGGAAGGAGGAAGGAGACCGGAUACAGGGAAACAUUAUUAUAGGGCCUCUUGUGUCUGUGAGAAACUGGCUCUUAGCUGAGUGCUAUGUCUAAAGUGCCGGGGCCUCCUUCUCCUUUCCCAGACCUUAGGUCCAGAUGAAGCAGCAGAAUGUGCAAGUCAACCUGUAUUGCCUGUAUAGUAAUCAAUAAUCAUUGAUAUUUAAUUUUGUUAAUAGAAACCCAAGAGUCAUUUAAACUAAGAUAAUAUCCCCACAUGUAUGCUUGUGGUCGUCAUUGUGUGAAAAAAUGUACAGUACCAGUCAAAGGUUUGGACACAGCUACUCAUUCAAGGGUUUUUCUUUAUUUUGCUUUUUUCUACAUUGUAGAAUAAUAGCGAAGACUUCAAAACUUCCAAACUAUUAAAUAACACAUGGAAUCAAGUAGUAACCGAAAAAGUGUUAAACAAAUCAAAAUAUAUUUUAUAUUUGAGAUUCUUCAAAGUAGCCACCCUUUGCCUUGAUGACAGCUUUGCAAGAAAACGCUCACCCAGAGGCGGCGCUCCUAGUAGCCGGGGACUUUAAUGCAGGGAAACUUAAAUCCGUUUUACCAAAUUUCUAUCAGCAUGUUAAAUGUGCAACCAGAGGAAAAAAAACUCUGGACCACCUUUACUCCACACACAAAGACACAUACAAAACUCUCCCUCACCCUCCAUUUGGCAAAUCUGACCAUAAUUCUAUCCUACUGAUUCCUGCAAAAAUUAAAGCAGGAAGCACCAGUGUCUAGAUCAAUAAAAAAGUGUUUAGAUGAAGCAGAUGCAGGACUGUUUUCUAGCACAGACUGGAAUAUGUUCCGGGAUUCCACCGAUGGCAUGGAGGAGUACACCACAUCAGUCAUUGGCUACAUCAAUAAGUCCAUCGGUGAUGUCGACCCCACAGUGACCAUACUUACAUACCCCAACCAGAAGCCAUGGAUUACAGGCAACAUCCGCACUGAGCUACAGGCUAUAGCUGCAGCUUUCAAGGAACGGGACUCUAACCCGGAAGGUUAUAAGAAAUCCUGCUAUGCCCUCCGACGAACCAUCAAACUGGCAAAGCAUCAAUACAGGACUAAGAUUGAAUCGUCCUACACCAUCUCUGGCGCUCGUCGGAUGUGGCAGGGCUUGCAAACCGUUACAGACUACAAAGGGAAGAACAGCUGAGAGCUGCCCAGUGACACGAGCGUACCAGACAAGCUAAACUACUUCUAUGCUUGCUUCGAUGCAAAUAACACUGAAACAUGAACAUGCAUGAGCGCACCAGCUGUUCUGGAAGACUGAGUGAUCACGCUCUCCGCAGCCGAUGUGAGUAAGACCUUUAAACAGGUCAACAUUCACAAGGCCGCAGGGCCUGACGGAUUACCAAGACGUGCACUGAAUGCAUGCUCUGACCAACUAGCAAGGGUCUUGACUGACAUUUUCAACCUCUCCCUGUCCGAGUAUGUAAUACCAACAUGUUUUAAGCAGACCACAAUAGUGCCUGUGCCCAAGAACACUAAGGUAACCUGCCUAAAUGACUACAGACCCGUAGCACUCACGUCUGUAGCCAUGAAGUGCUUCGAGAGGCUGGUCAUGACUCACAUCAGCACCAUUAUCCCAAAAAUCCUAGACCCAAUCCAAUUUGCAUCCCGCCCCAACAGAUCCAAAGAUGAUGCAAUCUCUAUUACACUCCACGCUACCCUUGCCCUUCUGGACAAAAGGAAAACCUAUGUGAGAAUGCUAUUCAUUGACUACAGCUCAGCGUUCAACACCAUAGUGCCCUCAAAGCUCAAAGCCCUGGAACUAAACACCUCCUUCUGCAACUGGAUCCUGGACUUCCUGACUGGCUGCCCCCAGGUGGAAAAGGUAGGUAACAGCACAUCCGCCACGCUGAUCCUCAACACAGUGGCCCCUCAGGGGUGCGUGCUCAGUCCCCUCCUGUAGUCCCUGUUCACUCAUGACUGCACGGCCAGGCACAACUCCAAUACCAUCAUUAAGUUUGCCGAUGACACAACAGUGAUCACCAACAACGACGAGACAGCCUUUAGGGAGGAGGUCAGAGACAACCUCUCCCUCAACGUCAUCAAGACAAAGGAGAUGAUUGUGGACUACAGGAAAAAGAGGACUGAGCACGCCCCCAUUCUCAUCGAUGGGGCUGCAGUGGAGCAGGUUGAGAGCUUCAAGUUCCUUGGUGUCCACAUCACCAACAAACUAACAUGGUCCAAGCACACCAAGAGAGUCGUGAAGAGGGCACAACAAAACCUAUUCCCCCUCAGGAGACUGAAAAGAUUUGGCAUGGGUCCUCAGAUCCUCAACAGGUUCUACAGCUGCACCAUCGAGAGCAUCCUGACUGGUUUAUCACUGCCUUGUAUGGCAACUGUUCUCUCUAUGGCCUAUUUAUUGCCUUACCUCCCUAAUGUUCUACAUUUGCACACACUGUAUAUAGAUUUUUCUAUUGUAUUAUUGACUGUACGUUUGCUUAUGUGUAACUUUGUGUUGUUGUUUUGUCGCAAUGCUUUGCUUUAUCUUGUAAAUGAGAACUUGUUCUCAACUGGCCAACUUGGUUAUAUAAAGGUGAAAUAAAUAAAUAAAUAAAAAACGUAAUACUUUUAUUUCUUAUUCUUAUCCGUAUUUUUUUAAAUUGCAUUGUUGGUUAGGGGCUCGUAAGUCAGCAUUUCACUGUAAGGUCUACAUCUGUUGUAUUUGGCGCAUGUGGCUAAUACAAUCUGAUUUGAUUUGAUUUGGUAAAAGACCAAGUCCAUUUUAAGGCAAGAACAGCUCAAAUAAGCAAAGAGAAAUGACAGUCCAUCAUUAAUUUAAUUGAACUUUUUUGGGAUAGGGGGCAGUAUUCGGAAGUUUGGAUGAAUGAGGUGCCCAAAGUAAACUGCCUGUUACUCAGGCCCAGAAGCUAGGAUAUGCAUAUAAUUGGUAGUAUUGGAUAGAAAACCCUCUAAAGUUUCCAAAACUGUUAAAAUGAUGUCUGUGACUAUAACGGAACUGAUAUGGCAGGUGAAGAUCUGAGGAAGAUCCAUCCAGGAAGUGGGAUUUUUUUGAUGUGGGUACUUUUCAAUUGAAUGCCUAUACAGUAUGUGAUGGGUUAGGACCCAGAUUGCAGUUCCUAUGGCUUCCACUAGAUGUCAACAGUCUUUAGACAUUGUUUCAGGCUUGUAUUCUGAAAAAUGAGGAAGAAUGAGAUCAUUUUGUAAGUGGACUGUAGAAUGAAGCAGAGCUGGUUUGCGUGAGUGACCGAUUGCGCACCCUUCGUUGUUUUUCAUUGCUAUUGAAUACGCUAUUGUCCGGUUUAAAUAUUCUCGAUUAUUUAGACAAUAGACAACCUGAGGAUUAAUUAUAAACAUCGUUUGACAUGUUUUGACGAACUUUACCUUUGAGCCAGUGGAUUACUGAACAAAACGUGACAACAAAACUGAGUUUUUGGGAUACAAAGAGGGACUUUAUCAAACAAAAUUACCAUUUAUUGUGUAACAGGGACUCUUGUGACUGCAACCAGAUGAAGACCAUCAAAGGUAAGUGAUUAAUUUUAUCGCUAUUUCUGACUUUUGUGACUCCUCUACUUGGCUUUCAAAUGUUUGUAUGCUUGUGUAAGCGGGGCACUGUCCUCAGAUAAUCGCAUGGUAUGCUUUCGCCGUAAAGCCUUUUUGAAAUCUGACACAGCAGCUGGAUUAACAAGAAGUUAAUCUUUAAGCCGAUGUAUAACACUUGUAUCUUUUAUGAAUGUUUAUUAUGAGUAUUUCUGUAUUUUGAAUUUGGCGCUCUGCAAUUUCACCGGAUGUUGUCGAGGUGGGUCGCUAGCGGAACGCCUAUCCCUAAAAAUUAAAACAUGAAGGUCAGUCAAUCCGGAAAAUAUCAAGAGCUUUUAAAGUUUCUUCAAGUGCAGUCGCAAAAACCAUCAAGCGCUAUGAGGAAACUGGCUCUCAUGAAGACCGCCUCAGGAAAGUAAGACCCAGAGUUACCUCUGCAGCCCUAAUAAAUGCUUCACAGAGUUCAAGUAACAGACACAUAUCAACAUCAACUGUUCAGAGGAGACUGUGUGAAUCAGGCCUUCUUGGUCAAAUUGCUGAAGGAAAAAAAACACUACUAAAGAACACUAAUAAUAAGAAGAGACUUGCUUGGGCCAAGAAACAGAGCAAUGGAUAUUAGACUGGUGGAAAUCUGUCCUUUUGUCUGAUGAGUCCAAAUUUUAGAUUUUUGGUUCCAACCGCCAAGUCUUUGUGAGACGCAGAGUAGGUGAAUGGAUGAUCUCCGCAUGUGUGGUUCCCACUGUGAAGCACGGAGGAGGAGGUGUGAUGGUGUGGGGUUGCUGUCUGUGAUUUAUUUAGAAUUCCAGGUACACUUAACCAGCAUGGCUACCACAGCAUUCUGCAGCGAUACGCCAUCCCAUCUGGUUUGAGCUUAGUGCGAGUAUCAUUUGUUUUUCAACAGGACAAUGACCCAAAACACACCUCCAGGCUGUGUAAUGCCGGUUUGACCAAGGAGAGUGAUGGAGUGCUGCAGAUGACCUGUCCUCCACAAUCCCCCAACUUCAACCCAAUUGAGAUGGUUUGAGAUGAGUUGGACCGCAGAGUGAAGGAAAAGCAGCCAACAAGUGCUCAGUACAUGUGGGAACUCCUUCAAGACUGUUGGAAAAACAUUCCUCAUGAAGCUGCUUGAGAGACUGCCAAGAGUGUGCAAAGCUGUCAUCAAGGCAAAGGUUGGAGAACCUAAAAUAUAAAAUAUAUUUUGAUUUGUUUAACACUUUUUUGGUUGCUACAUGAUUCCAUAUGUGUUUUAUCAUAGUGUUUAUGUCUUCAGUAUUAUUCUACAAUGUAGAAGAUAGUAAAAAUAAAGAAAAACUCUUUGAAUGAGUAGGUGUGUCCAAACUUUUGACUGUCUGUAUAAUUCCUUUCAGACAUUUUUUGUGUGUGUGUGAGGCUGUGUGCUGAGGAUCUGUGAAGUAGUUGGGUAAAGCCACAGGAGAGGUACAGGGGCCUCUCAGGAAGUCAUUGGAACCAGGAGUCCACAUGUUGUGAUGACAGCCACAGCCAGCCCGGCGGCUUACACACUGAAUUGUGUACAGUAUUGGCCUAAUUAGUUCUCUGUUGGCUGCUUGAAUUUACAGUUUUGUAUUACAGCAGUCUUCAGCAAUCCGCCACCCCUCCUCCAGCACCUCAUGCUGUACAUACUCACUCAGCCAGACACAAAAUACACACACAGAUAAGAAUACGAUACAGUAGCAGCUCAACUCUAUGUUCAGGGACUAACCACCACUUCGUUGAUAGUGUGGUUGAUUCAAAGUGUGUCUGUGUGAUCUUUUGGCAACAUGUGAGUGUCUUCCCUGAGAAAAUGGCAACACAGACAGUGAGGCAGCAUCCCACAGGAAAGGGCCUUUGUAGUCUGCCUACUCUCUGUCCUCACUUCCCACACUGCCGACAGACACAUCCCAAACACUACAGUUGGACUCGCAUCCCCUCUGUCCGCUCUGCUACUCACAAACAUGUGCCGAGACUCAUGGAACAAUUACAGUGUGCUAUUGAAGUUGCCAUCAAUGUCCCUGUGCCUUGCAUGGUAAAGGAAAAGACUGGGAAACUCUACAGGAGAAAAUACUGAUGCUGUGGUACACUCCCAUCGACGUGCCUGCCUAAGCUGUAAACUGGAUGCUCAGCAGGUGUUCAUCCUGGGGCCUAGCAGGGGCUGCCGCUGUGAUGUGCAGGAAUGUGUCGGGCGAGGGGGACACCAGGCUGGUGGAGCUGGAGAGGGAUUAGUGCCCAGCACCCACCAACCCCUCACAGCAGGAGCUGUCAUGUCAACCCAGCCUCACUCUGAUUGGGUAUUGGUCAGGGGACAGUUUCAGGUCACAGCACCGGCAGCCUUGAACGCUGGGCACACCAUUCUCUCUCACAAUGUACAGCAGGCAACAUAUACAUGCUCUGACAACCCACGGUGGAGCAACAAAAGAGGAAGGGGAGGUUGAGUCUCUAUCGAUUACCCUCUUCGACCCACUCUAUUGGACUCAUUAGCUGUGGAAUACGACCGGAUCCAUAGACAUUCCAGGUCCAAUAUGAUUUCAGACGGAAUGUCAGGCAUUACAAAAUUGACCCUGGAGUGAUUUGUGGGAGAUGGAGGAGGAGAAGGACGAAAAAAGUUAACUGUGCAUGAUGGAGAAAAGGAAACAUCUCCCCAUCACAUCUACAGAAACCAGCACUUCACCAGAGACCCCCAGACAGACACAGGGAAGAGAGGAAGAGGGACCGAGGGGGGCGGGAGGCCGGUGGUGGCUGGUCCACUCCAGGAAUCUGAGGCGAGGGAGGUCCCUCCGCCCCCUUUGGACAUCGAGGGGGCCCUGGUGUACUCCGUUCGUUCCAUCCUGGAUUCGAGGCAUCGGGCAGGGGGCCUUCAGUACCUUGUGGAGUGGGAGGGAUACGGUCCGGAGGAGAGGUGCUGGGUCCCGGUUGCGGAUGUUUUGGACCCCGAACUGCUGCGGGAGUUUCACCAUCGCCGGCUGGAUCGCCCUGCGCUUCGCCCUCCGCAUCGUCCUGAGGUCGGUGUCGGCGUGCCACUGGAGCCGCUCGUCAAGGGAGGGGUACUGUCACGACUUCCGCCGAAGUCGGCUCCUCUCCUUGUUCAGGCGGCGUUCGGCGAUCGACGUCACCGGCUUUCUAGCCAUCGCCGCUCCAUUUCUCAUAUGUCCAUUUGUUUUGUCUUGUUCCAUACACACCUGGUUUACAUUCCCCAAUCAAUCUACAUGUAUUUAGUCCUCUGUUCCCCAUCAUGUCUUUAUGUGUAAUUGUUUAUUGUUACGUGGGAUAUUUGUCAGGCGCUGCACUUUUGUUAUUAGACCGUGUUUUUGGCACUAGUAUGUUUUAGGUGCUGUCGUUGUUGACCGGUAUUAAAGUGCGCCUGUUUAUUAUACUCCAAGGGAAGCUUCUUCUUCAUGACACCCACCAGUAUUAUUAGAAACAUCAGUCAAGCUGUUAGGGCCUUGCAAACAGAAGUGCCUGCUGAUGUCCCAUUCCCCAUGUGAUGUAUGGUUAGCCCUCACUCGACAAACAUGUAGGGCAAGGGCCAUGCACCAGGGCACCCCUUGUUGAUGAAGUGGCACCACCCUAAACAAAUUCCCACAAAGGCAGGAAGGGCAGGGGCAUUGAACCCCUACUCCCUAGAAAAAGGCCUUCCCGUCCACUCAGCCCUGUGUACAGGGCAUUGACUGUAAGGACACACAGGGAGGAGCACAACGAUGGGCAAUACAGGCUGUUUUUCCUGUUGAAGCAUUCUUUGUGUGAGAGAAGAGGACUCCUCUCUGGAAACACAGGAAGGCUCACCAGGGGUCGGCAGAGGAAUGUAAACACACACAUAGACUCCCUCCACACCACAGAGUGUGCUGUGUGCAAACUUGACAUAUCCCAUAGGUCUUCCCCCGGAAUGAAAAACAUAAACAUCACGCUGAUUUCACUUGUGUGGAUAAUGGACGGAUGUUAACUUGCUUACCCGUAAAACUUCAAUUAAAUGCUGAGUCUCAAAUAGACUUCAGCCAACCAAGUCAUAGACGGUUCUCUCUGCUGCCGCACGGCAAGUGGUACCGUUGCACCAAGUCUGGACCCAACAGGACCCAGCUUCUAUCCCCAAGCCAUAAGGCUGCUAAAUAGUUAGUUAAAUAGUUAACCUAAUUGCUACCCAGACUAAAAAGGCAAAAAAGAUCAUCAAGGACAACAACCACCCGAGCCACUGCCUUUUCACCCCGCUAUCAUCCAGAAGGCGAGGCCAACAGACUGUUAAAUAGCCAUCACUAGCACAUUAGAGUCUGCUGCCCUAUAUACAUAGACUUGAAAUCACUGGUGACUUUAGUAAUGGAACACUAGUCACUUUAAUAAUCUUUACAUACUGCUUUACUCAUCUCAUAUGUAUAUACUGUAUUCUAUUCUACUGUAUCUUAUUCUAUGCCGCUCUGACAUUGCUCAUCCAAAUAUUUAUAUAUUCUUAAUUCCAUUCCUUUACUUAAGAUUUGUGUGUAUUGUUGUGAAAUGUUAGAUAUUACUUGUUAGAUAUUACUGCACUGUUGGAGCUAGAAACACACGCAUUUCGCUACACUCGCAAUAACAUCUGCUAAACACGUGUAUGUGACCAAAAAAAUGUGAUUUGAUUAGAUUUUGACUAUCGGCAUUGACCCUUUUUGCACUAACUUUUUUUGACUCAUCACAUACGCUGCUGCUACUGUUUACUAUCUGUCACUUUACUCCGAGUUAUAUGUCACCUAAAACACUCACCCCGCCCUCAACCUCAAUGCUCUCCAGAGGGUAGUGCGGUCUGCACAACACAUCACCGGGGGCAAACUAACUGCCCUCCAAGACACCUACCGCACCCGAUGUCACAGGAAGGUCAAAAAGAUCAUCAAGGACAACAACCACUGCCUGUUCACCCCGCUAUCAUCCAGAAGGCGAGGUCAGUACAGGUGCAUCAAAGCUGGGACCGAGAGACUGAAAAACAGCUUCUAUCUCAAAGCCAUCAGACUGUUAAACAGCCAUCACUAACAUUGAGUGGCUGCUGCGAACAUACAGACACAAAUCUCUGGCCACUUAAAUAAAUUGACUUAAUAAAUGUAUCACUAGUCACUUUAAAUAACGCCACUUUAAUAAGGUUUACAUAUCCUACAUUACUUAUCUCAUAUGUAUAUACUGUAUUCUAUACCAUCUACUGCAUCUUGCCUAUGCAGCACGGCCAUCGCUCAUCCAUAUAUUUAUAUGUACAUAUUCUUAUUCAUCCCUUUACAUUUGUGUGUAUAAGGUAGUCAUUGUGAAUUUGUUAGAUUACUGUUAGAUUACUUACGGGAAGGACCCGUAAGUAAGCAUUUCACUGUUAGUCUACACCUGUUGUUUACAAAGCAUGUAGUGAAUAAAAUUGUAUUUUAUUUGGCCAUGCAUGACUGACCGUAGCGGCAAAGCCAGCAAAAUGCAAAGGGUUUGUUUCAAACUGUCUCUUUUCAUGUACUGUAGUAUCUAAAAGACAGGUCUUCUGCUGCCAAAUCUGUACCCCUAGCCACUAGCUAAAUCCACACAGAUUUACCCAUGACUUGACUUUGGAACAUUGUUAUUUUUUCUUUGCAUCAGGGUUUUUUCCCAUCCUGCCAAAUGAUGUUGGUUGUUCUGUUAGAAGUGAGCUCGGGAUCAAAAGGAGGGAUGGUGUGAUGGGUGUAUGGGCAUGGGGGGGUGUUGCAGCUGUCUGGAUCAAAUGGAUCAGAGUCAACUGGGGUGGGGUGGUUUAGGCAGGGGGCUCAUAGGGGACACCUAUUCUUCUGUGUCAUAGCCAGCCUGCACGGCACAUAUGCCAGUCCCAAGGCCACUCUGAAAGCCAUGCCCCCAUGCAGCCUUCUCAACUGUAACUCUGUGUAAUAACAUGGCCUGUUCUUCCAUUAAUGGUUUCCAUGAUGCGGCCGUCCUCUUCACUCCACUGAAAUGUGUGUGAGUGAUAUAUAUAUAUAUAUGUCCCCAGCAGACACACGUUGUGAAUGUGUGUACAUGAGCACUUUGUUUGAGUUUUGUUUUCAGACACCAAGACAAUAGAAAUGCCAAAACAGAUGUAGAAACAGUUAGAGUGGUGUUGCGGAUGUUUGUACUCCCUCUCUCCCCCUCGCCUUGUGAUUGCACAUCAACGUUGUAGAGUAAGUGUUAAAGUGCCUGUGAUUGAUUUGGUUGUUUAGCUCCUUGAAGCAGUAGUCUGUUAAUGAAGGAGCCCUGAACUCGGACUGCAGAGAGUGGUGAGAUCACAGACAGCCCCUGGACAACACUGUCCUUGGAACAAUGGUUAACCCUAAUUAGAAGUGUUAUUUGUAACAUAGGCAGCUUUUUGUGCAGCCACUGGCCAUUGUCAUUUAACCCAAAAGGCGAUAAUGCUUGAUAGUGGGUUAGGUGUUUGAAGGUUUUAAUGGUACCUGGUAAAAGUGGUGAACAGUUGAGAACAGCUGACAUGGGUUAAGGAAGUGAGAGAAGCACUGUCAUGGCAAAUACACACACUCCCUACUGUUUGUUUGCUCCCAGCUUGGGGAGGUGGGCUGAGCUGGUUUCAACACUGACUGAUUUAUAGUUUGGCGCUGUCUAUCAAGCAGCUGACAGAUGGACAUUGCACUGCAACCUCAGCAGCACAGCAGACACAUCACUUUCCAAACUCCAUCCAUUUCACUACCAACUGGAAUGCUAAGGAUAAGUCAAUGGGGCAUUCUUUUCUACACUUUUGACUACUUUAAUACACAUAUAAGUGAAUUUGUCCCAAUACUUUUGGUCCCCUAAAAUGGGGGACUAUGUACAAAAAGUGCUUUAAUUUCUAAAUGGAAAAGACCCUCAAAUUAAAGCUGACAGUCUGCACUUUAUUGUCACAGUCAUUGUAUCAUUUCAAAUCGAAAGUCCUGGAGUACAGAACCAAAAC